AAGUAUAAGAGGUCCCGCCUGCCCUGUGACUAUAUGUUUAACGGCCGCGGUAUUUUGACCGUGCGAAGGUAGCGCAAUCACUUGUCUUUUAAAUGGGGACCUGUAUGAAUGGCAUAACGAGGGCUUGACUGUCUCCUCUUUCAAGUCAAUGAAAUUGAUCUCCCCGUGCAGAAGCGGGGAUGAGCACAUAAGACGAGAAGACCCUAUGGAGCUUUAGACACUAAAGCAGGCCGGCAUUAAUACCCCAAAUACGGGGCACGAAUAAACUGAGCUCUGCCCUAAUGUCUUAGGUUGGGGCGACCGCGGAGUAAUAAAAAACCCCCGCAAGGACCGAAUGUAUAACAUUCACAACCAAGAGCGACAGCUCUAAUUAACAGAUAUUUCUGACCAAUAAGAUCCGGCAACGCCGAUCUAUGGACCAAGUUACCCUAGGGAUAACAGCGCAAUCUCCUCUGAGAGCCCGUAUCAACGAGGAGGUUUACGACCUCGAUGUUGGAUCAGGACAUCCUAAUGGUGCAGCCGCUAUUAAGGGUUCGUUUGUUCAACGAUUAAAGUCCUACGUGAUC
rnacentral:rRNA from 1 species